rnacentral:rRNA from 1 species
AUUGAACGCUGGCGGAAUGCUUUACACAUGCAAGUCGAACGGCAGCACGGGGUAACCUGGUGGCGAGUGGCGAACGGGUGAGUAAUACAUCGGAACGUGCCCAAUCGUGGGGGAUAACGUAGCGAAAGUUACGCUAAUACCGCAUACGAUCUACGGAUGAAGGCGGGGGAUCGCAAGACCUCGCGCGAAUGGAGCGGCCGAUGUCAGAUUAGGUAGUUGGUGGGGUAAAGGCUCACCAAGCCAACGAUCUGUAGCUGGUCUGAGAGGACGACCAGCCACACUGGGACUGAGACACGGCCCAGACUCCUACGGGAGGCAGCAGUGGGGAAUUUUGGACAAUGGGCGCAAGCCUGAUCCAGCCAUUCCGCGUGCAGGAUGAAGGCCUUCGGGUUGUAAACUGCUUUUGUACGGAACGAAACGGCUCUCUCUAAUACAGGGGGCUAAUGACGGUACCGUAAGAAUAAGCACCGGCUAACUACGUGCCAGCCGCCGCAGUAACAC